AGUACCUAUGCUGAAUCUAAUUGCCCUAUUUUGUUUCUUUAGAAUCACGAUAAUAUUUAGAGGUUUGAAACGUUAACUGUUAUGGGGGUGUGGUUUAUUUAUUGGGUCACUAUUUAUAUCAUUAACAUACGAAAGUAACAGAUUAUGUUGGCAUACUCACUUGACUCUUGAUUAAAUAAACUUUUUAUACAAAACCGAUUUAAAUGGAUAGACAGAGGAUCAAAGCUAGAGGUUUGCUCUUCUACUGUAUUAUACGAUAUAAGCGACG
rnacentral:lncRNA from 1 species